rnacentral:rRNA from 1 species
GACGAACGCUGGCGGCAUGCCUAACACAUGCAAGUCGAGCGGGGGGAGGUAGCUUGCUACCGGACCUAGCGGCGGACGGGUGAGUAAUGCUUAGGAAUCUGCCUAUUAGUGGGGGACAACAUCUCGAAAGGGAUGCUAAUACCGCAUACGUCCUACGGGAGAAAGCAGGGGAUCUUCGGACCUUGCGCUAAUAGAUGAGCCUAAGUCGGAUUAGCUAGUUGGUGGGGUAAAGGCCUACCAAGGCGACGAUCUGUAGCGGGUCUGAGAGGAUGAUCCGCCACACUGGGACUGAGACACGGCCCAGACUCCUACGGGAGGCAGCAGUGGGGAAUAUUGGACAAUGGGGGGAACCCUGAUCCAGCCAUGCCGCGUGUGUGAAGAAGGCCUUAUGGUUGUAAAGCACUUUAAGCGAGGAGGAGGCUACUUUAGUUAAUACCUAGAGAUAGUGGACGUUACUCGCAGAAUAAGCACCGGCUAACUCUGUGCCAGCCGCCGCAGUAA